AGAGUUUGAUCAUGGCUCAGGAUGAACGCUAGCGCAGCCUAAUACAUGCAAGUCGAACGGCAAGAUUUGGUAGUAAUACUAAAUCCUAGAGUGGCGCACGGUGAGUAACGCGUACAUGACAUACCUAUAAGCGAGGGAUAGCAUUGGGAAACUGGUAGUAACCCUCAUGUGAUUAUUUGUAAUAAAGGUAAAUAAUUAAAACUACGGUGCUUAUAGAUUGGUGUGCGUCUGAUUAGCUAGCUGGCGAGGUAACGGCUCACCAAGGCGACGAUCAGUAGGGGCGUGAGAGCGUGAACCCCCACACGGGUACUGAGACACGGACCCGACUCCUACGGGAGGCAGCAGUAAGGAAUAUUGGUCAAUGGAGGGAACUCUGAACCAGCCAUGCCGCGUGCAGGAUGAAAGCCCUCUGGGUUGUAAACUGCUUUUAACAGGGAAGAAAAUGCUAUACGUGAUAUAGUACUGACGGUACCUGAGGAAUAAGCACCGGCUAACUCCGUG
rnacentral:rRNA from 1 species